CUUCUUUUUCAUUCUUCUUAUCUUUCAUUCUUCCCCGUUCCUUCUUCUUUCCUUAUUUUGGUCGAUUUUGUCGACGAAGCUAGCUUAAUUCUAUGCGAGUGAUUCAUCAAGGUUUAUUAGUUAGUUGUAUGAUGGAGAGGGUGAUGGUGCUGAAGUUGUUCGAUUACAGGAAGAAGCAGAAAAGGUUAGUCGUUAUUAAUAACGAUCGAUUCAACGGAUGAUCUUGUAGACAUCGGAUCUCGAGGUAGGCGAGGCUUGUCAUCAAAACAGGUGGAAACUAUGUAACCUUCUGUUUCAGUAUUCAGAAGAGGUGGUGCGCAUGAAGAUAUUCGUUUCGUAGUUUGAAACUUUAGCCGAUUAAGAACGUUUAUGGAUCUUUUAUAUAUAUGUAUUCUUUGUUUAUCUGUAAAACAACACAUUAAUAUAUUUAUAUCACUUGAGAGUUUUCAUCUAU